rnacentral:piRNA from 1 species
UGCACGUCUAGAUUCCUUUCUUGGUGUUC